rnacentral:rRNA from 1 species
UACGAAGGGGGCUAGCGUUGCUCGGAAUUACUGGGCGUAAAGCGCGCGUAGGCGGCUUUGUAAGUUAGAGGUGAAAGCCUGGAGCUCAACUUCAGAAUUGCCUUUAAGACUGCAUCGCUAGAAUCCAGGAGAGGUGAGUGGAAUUCCGAGUGUAGAGGUGAAAUUCGUAGAUAUUCGGAAGAACACCAGUGGCGAAGGCGGCUCACUGGACUGGUAUUGACGCUGAGGUGCGAAAGCGUGGGGAGCAAACAGG